GUAUUGUUAUAGGUUACGGAUGCAACGUCGUUAAAAAAUUCCAGGACAAUUAAAUUGUUGAUUCAAUCGAACAUAUGGUAUGAACAUGGUUUGUUUCACGGGGUGUUUCGGUGUCUUGCCUUGAAUCAAGGCGUGUAAAAACGUUAUGUGUGAUCCUUAUACACCAGCUGGUGUUCCAAUUCCAACCAACAAGAGGCACAACGCUGCUAAAAUUUUCAGACACCAAUCGUUGCCUCCGAGGAGCCUUGGUAUGCUCAUCUUCUUGUUUUUUGGCUAUACAUAUUAUUUUCGUUACUAUAAAUUCUAAUAGUGUU